AUCCAGAUCUUCUUCUGGUCCUGCAACCAUCCAAGUCAUGGAGAGGAAUCUUUUGAUUGGUUUCUUAAUGAUAUUCCCUGCAUACAGUUCCUCACAGAUUACCCUCACACAGUCUGGCAAUGGGCUGAAAAGACCUGGAGAGACUCUGCAGCUGACCUGUACAGUGUCUGGAUUUUCUCUAUCAAGCAAUAGUGUGCACUGGAUCCGUCAGCCUCCUGGAAAAGGGCUGGAGUGGACUGGACGAAUGCGGUAUGAUGGAAGCAAUAACUAUAACGCUGCUCUCCAAAACCGGAUCACCAUCACAAGGGACAUCUCAAAAAGCCAGGUGUCCCUACAACUGAGGACCCUGAAGUCUGAAGACUCUGCCAUGUACUAUUGUGCAAGAGACACACUAAAUAUCAUUUUCAUUUACCCAGGGGAUAUUUCCUUGAAUUGCGACAACUUCAACUGUGCUGUGCUAACUGCACCUACUCUUCGAGUUAUACCUACUCUUUGA